AUUGAACGCUGGCGGCAGGCUUAACACAUGCAAGUCGAGCGAGCGGCGGACGGGUGAGUAAUGUCUGGGAAACUGCCUGAUGGAGGGGGAUAACUACUGGAAACGGUAGCAAAUACCGCUUACCGUCCGAUGAGCCCAGAUGGGAUGAUCUAGUAGGUGGGGUAAUGGCUCACUUGGGCGACGAUCCCUAGCUGGGCUGAGAGGUUGACCAGACACACUGGAACUGAUACACGGUCCAGACUCCUACGGGAGGCAGCAGUGGGGAAUUUUCCACAAUGGGCGAAAGCCUGAUGCAGCCAUGCCGCGUGUGUGAAGAAGGCCUUCGGGUUGUAAAGCACUUUCAGCGAGGAGGCGUUACUCGCAGAAGAAGCACCGGCUAACUCCGUGCCAGCAGCCGCGGUAAUUC
rnacentral:rRNA from 1 species